AUUGAACGCUGGCGGCAGGCUUAACACAUGCAAGUCGAGCGAGCGGCGGACGGGUGAGUAAUGUCUGGGAAACUGCCUGAUGGAGGGGGAUAACUACUGGAAACGGUAGCUAAUACCGCAUACCAUCGGAUGUGCCCAUAUGGGAUUAGCUAGUAGGUGGGGUAAUGGCUCACCUAGGCGACGAUCCCUAGCUGGUCUGAGAGGAUGACCAGCCACACUGGAACGGAGACACGGUCCAGACUCCUACGGUAGGCAGCAGUGGGGAAUAUUGCACAAUGGGCGAAAGCCUGAUGCAGCCAUGCCGCGUGUGUGAAGAAGGCCUUCGGGUUGUAAAGCACUUUCAGCGAGGAGGCGUUACUCGCAGAAGAAGCACCGGCUAACUACGUGCCAGCAGCCGCGGUAAUAC
rnacentral:rRNA from 1 species